rnacentral:rRNA from 1 species
AACGAACGCUGGCGGCGUGUUUAAGACAUGCAAGUCGCACGGUGUCAUUUUGGUAGCAAUACUUGAAUGGCAUAGUGGCGCACGGGUGAGUAACACGUGAAUUACAUGCCCUAUAGAGGGGGAUAGCCCAGGGAAACUUGGAUUAAUACCCCAUGGUCUCGCAAGAGUAAAGGUGGCCGCAAGGCUGUCGCUAUAGGAUUGGUUCGCGCCCUAUCAGCUUGUUGGCGGGGUAACGGCCCACCAAGGCUACGACGGGUACCUGGUCUGAGAGGACGAUCAGGCACACUGGAACGGAGACACGGUCAAGAAACCUACGGGUGGCAGCAGUCGAGAAUAAUUCACAAUGGGGGCAACCCUGAUGGUGCAACGCCGCGUGGAGGAUGACGGUCUUCGGAUUGUAAACUCCUGUCAUCCGGGAGUAAGACCUGGGAGUUAAUAGCUCACAGGGUUGAUAGUACCGGAAGAGGAAGGGACGGCUAACUUCGUGCCAGCCGCCGCGGUAACAC